rnacentral:rRNA from 1 species
AGCGAACGUUAGCGGCGGGCCUAACACAUGCAAGUCGAACGGGCUGUAGCAAUACAGUCAGUGGCGCACGGGUGCGUAACGCGUAGAUAAUCUACCUCUCAGUGGGGGAUAACUAGGGGAAACUCUAGCUAAUACCGCAUAAGACCACGGAGUCUUCGGGCUUUGAGGGAAAAGGCGGCCUCUGAAUAUGCUGUCGCUGGGAGAUGAGUCUGCGUCCCAUCAGCUAGUUGGUGAGGUAAUGGCUCACCAAGGCAAAGACGGGUAGCUGGUCUGAGAGGAUGAUCAGCCACACUGGCACUGGAACACGGGCCAGACUCCUACGGGAGGCAGCAGUGGGGAAUAUUGGGCAAUGGGCGGAAGCCUGACCCAGCCACGCCGCGUGAGUGAUGAAGGCCUCGGUUGUAA